rnacentral:rRNA from 1 species
UACGAGGGGUGCAAGCGUUAUUCGGAAUUACUGGGCGUAAAGCGCGCGUAGGCGGACUGUUAAGUCGGUUGUGAAAGCCCUGGGCUCAACCUAGGAACUGCAUCCGAUACUGGCAAUCUAGAGUUUAAGAGAGGCAAGGGGAAUUCCAGGUGUAGCAGUGAAAUGCGUAGAUAUCUGGAGGAACAUCAGUGGCGAAGGCGCCUUGCUGGCUUAAAACUGACGCUGAGGUGCGAAAGCGUGGGUAGCAAACAGG